rnacentral:lncRNA from 1 species
GAUCGAUGAAAAAUGGUGUUGAUGUUUAUUUCUUUUCCUAUGACAUCGAAUCUUUACAGGAUGUGUUAAUUGCUCGUUCAUUUCCCGAAAGAUGAUUGUCUUAGAAUCUCUUGUUGGUUGCUCCGUGCCUGCUCGAUAUGGGCGGUAAUUUGAGCAAGUAACUUAAGAAUCGGUAGGGGGGAGAGACGAGGUCCUGUUUGGUAAUCGGCCAUGCCUAUUACCGGUGGAGGCCGCUGGAAUCGCAGGUGACAACGCAAGAGUGUCCACCCAGUCCGGAGCUCAAGUACACCGUUAUGAACAGAAAAGUGCUUAGGGCGUGUUUGGUUGCCCUGACUGAACAGUGCAAGGUUGCAUACUAAAAACAAGUUAGUAGAACCUUGUUAAGAAGAUACAAACCAAAAUAUGACGAUUGCAAGUUGAUUGGCCUCAACCUGGUUAAGAAGAUGCAAGAUCGGCAUUAACCUGGUUAAGAAGAUACAAGCCAAAAUAUGACGAUUGCAAGUUGAUUGGUUGCCUAUAUGAG